GUGAACUAUUCUCAUGUUCCUCCAGCAGCCACAACUGAAGUACUCUAUCAGGACUGCCUUGGAACAUGAAACCAACUUACCACUGUACUUUCCAUCUUGGAUGCUGAAGUUCUAGGGUAGGGUUGUCAGUAAAAUGCAGGACACCCAGUUAAAUUUAAAUUUCAAAUAAAUAAGAAAUAAUUUUUAGCCAUUAUUAUGGAGUUCUAGACCUGGUGUGGGGAGUAUGGGGAUCAACCUCAGAAGCCUCCAGAGAGAGAUCGGUGGACUCUAGGAGUGUCAAUCUCAGACUGACCAUCGCUGGGGCCACAUUCAAGCAGCAGCCCUUUGUCCAGAGCCAUUUCCUCCACUGGCCUCAGUUCCUGUAGGGCCCAGAUGGUGCUGAAGUCAGAUGCCAAGGGGAAAGUGACUUUACCCAAGAGAGAGAUUUUUAAAUAUUCCCCCAACUGCUCUGAUGGGACCGUCUAGUUGCAGGAAAACAAGCUCAAGGCUCCCACUGAUUCUACAUUACAGUGAGUUGCAUAAUCAUUUCAUUAUAUAUUACAAUGUAAUAAUAAUAGAAAUAAAGUGCACAAUAAAUGUAAUGCACUUGAAUCAUCCCGAAACCAUCCCUCCCCAGUCCAUGGAAAAACUGUCUUCCCUGGUGCCAAAAAGGUUGACCGCUGUUCUGCAGCAAGGUCUUUAAACAAUGCCUGGGACAUAGACAAUCCCUCAGAAAGAUGCUUAUCUAAUGUUCCCAGUGGUCAUGACUUUUGGCAAGAAAGUCUGAGAUGUGACCGGCUGCACAUGACUUUACCUAAAAGCUUGCUAUGUGAAGGACACUUUCUGGAGAGUGGGUGUAGGAAUUCAUUGUUUCACUGCUGCCCAAGACAGCACUACUGUUUGUAAGCCCCUAUUAAAUAUUUCUUUCUGAGAAA
rnacentral:antisense_RNA from 1 species